GAAAGGCGCUUUUGCGUCACUGAUGGAUGGACCCGCGGUGCAUUAGCUAGUUGGUGAGGUAACGGCUCACCAAGGCCACGAUGCAUAGCCGACCUGAGAGGGUGAUCGGCCACACUGGGACUGAGACACGGCCCAGACUCCUACGGGAGGCAGCAGUAGGGAAUCUUCGGCAAUGGACGAAAGUCUGACCGAGCAACGCCGCGUGAGUGAAGAAGGUUUUCGGAUCGUAAAACUCUGUUGUUAGAGAAGAACAAGGAUGAGAGUAGAACGUUCAUCCCUUGACGGUAUCUAACCAGAAAGCCACGGCUAACUACGUGCCAGCAGCCGCGGUAAUACGUAGGUGGCAAGCGUUGUCCGGAUUUAUUGGGCGUAAAGCGAGCGCAGGCGGUUUCUUAAGUCUGAUGUGAAAGCCCCCGGCUCAACCGGGGAAGGUCAUUGGAAACUGGGAGACUUGAGUGCAGAAGAGGAGAGUGGAAUUCCAUGUGUAGCGGUGAAAUGCGUAGAUAUAUGGAGGAACACCAGUGGCGAAGGCGGCUCUCUGGUCUGUAACUGACGCUGAGGCUCGAAAGCGUGGGGAGCGAACAGGAUUAGAUACCCUGGUAGUCCACGCCGUAAACGAUGAGUGCUAAGUGUUGGAGGGUUUCCGCCCUUCA
rnacentral:rRNA from 1 species